rnacentral:rRNA from 1 species
ACUUACAUUGAAGCCUAGCGAUAUGUAAGUUAGUGGCGGACGGGUGAGUAACGCGUGGGUAACCUGCCUCAUACAGGGGGAUAACAGUUAGAAAUGACUGCUAAUACCGCAUAAGACCACAGCACCGCAUGGUGCAGGGGUAAAAACUCCGGUGGUGUGAGAUGGACCCGCGUCUGAUUAGCCAGUUGGCGGGGUAACGGCCCACCAAGGCGACGAUCGGUAGCCGACCUGAGAGGGUGAUCGGCCACAUUGGAACUGAGAGACGGUCCAGACUCC